AAGAUAUUAAGAUUAGCAAUAAAUCCUGCAGAAAUAUAACAGCUGUAACACUUUUGUUCUGUUUUGUUUUGUCGUUGGUGUUUUAGAUAAUGCUGAUUAUUGGCUUGACACAUUUCCUGGUGGUGUUCAGGGUGAUAGUAGGAGGGUUUCUGGCCAAAAAUUCAUUCUCAAGCAACGCCUCCAACAUCGGGGCGAUGUUAGCCGGCGGUUUGCUCCAUUUCAUCAUCAUCACCAUCAUGACGCGGGUCAACAGGAAGGUAGCGAUGAAGCUCUGCGAUAUAG